AUUUUUUUCUUGCUGCUGCGGUGGUGAUAUGCUGGUUCCUGACAAGAGAUGAAGAAAUCAAAGUCAGCUUUUCAAGACAGCCCCAAGACUCCUCGCAACCUGUGUUCAAAUGUGAGGCUGUUGUCAGGUGAUGAAUGCAAGGAAGAGGCACUCAACUGACAUGAAACAUGUCAAAGACAACAUGAAGGUGACAUUUCAACAUAGGCAAAAAGUGGUUCAAGAACCUGCCACAGCUUCUACUGUCCUGGACCUUUUCCCAAGAGUUCUGUACACCUGGCUUGGUUGACCAAGACUUCACAAUGCUGUUUGUUGGGGAGGAAGUGUCUGCUAAGUUCCUUGCAAAGUGGCCAACCAAGCCAAGGAUCAUCAAAGAUUGCAAAAAUCUGUCUCAGAGUACAGAAUUGGAUGAGCUGCUCAUUUCUGCACAGCGUUACUCUGACGAGGGUGUUUGGGACUGCGAGGCGGCUGCCAGCUUUUGCUGCUUCACUUGUACCUCCAACAUCUAAGGGAGGGAAGUCUUCAAAGAUUAGCACAUCAGAUGCUGCUCACCACCUAAUGAAAUUCAUCAAGGUGGGAGGUAGCACGGAGGCUUUUCUUAAGGCUGGCCCCACUCAGCCAUUCGUCCUGUGUGUUGGAGAAAGAAAGAACAUCAUCCAGAGUUUCUACAUUGUCCUAGAUCAA